UUUAAAGGGCCGCGGUAAUUUGACCGUGCGAAGGUAGCAUAGUCAGUAGUCUUUUAAUUGAAGGCUUGAAUGAAAGGUUGGACGAGGGAUAGGCUGUCUCUUUUAUGUUAUUUGAAUUUAACUUUUAAGUGAAAAGGCUUAAAUUAUCUAGUGGGACGAUAAGACCCUAUAAAACUUGAUAUGAGUGAAGUUUAGUUUGUGGUAUAGGUGGAAAGUAAUUAAAUUUAGUUUAUAUUUUGUUGGGGUGAUGUAGAUAUAAUGUGUAACUGUCUGUUAGAAUUUAAUAAUUAUAAUUAGUGUUUGAUCCUGCUUUGCGGAUUAAAAGAAUAAGUUACUUUAGGGAUAACAGCGUAAUUUUCUUUGAGAGUUCUUAUCGACAAGAGUAGUUGCGACCUCGAUGUUGAAUUAAAAUUUUAGCUAGGUGUAGCCGUUUAGCUGGUAGGGC
rnacentral:rRNA from 1 species